GGCAUGGUGGCACAGUGGGUAGUGUUGCAGCCUCACAGCUCCAGGGUUCUUGGUUUGAUCCAGGCUGCGUUA